ACCUGGGUAGCUCCAUUGCUUAGAGCGUGGUGCUGAUAACGCCAAGGUUGCUGGUUCGAUCCCCGUAUGGGACA